AAGCAGUGUGACCUGAACCGUCGAAGCCAUGGGCAAGCCUCCAAUGCUGACUUCAUAACGAAGGAAGGCUACAUUUAUCGAAACGUGUUGAACCACUGUGAAAGUAGCCCAUGUCCUGUAAAUGCACAGUGUCAAGUUGGUUUCACUAC